rnacentral:misc_RNA from 1 species
UACGUAGGUGGCAAACGUUAUCCGGAAUUACUGGGCGUAAAGGGUCCGCAGGCGGACCUGUAGGUCUGGCGUGAAAGCUCCCGGCUUAACUGGGAGAAGCCGCUGGAAACCGCAGGUCUUGUAUCGUGCAGAGGUCGGUGGAAUUCCCGGUGUAGUGGUGGAAUGCGUAGAGAUCGGGAGGAACCUCGAAAGCGAAGGCAACCGGCUGGGCACGGAUAGACGCUGAGGGACGAAAGCGUGGGGAGCGAACAGG